rnacentral:lncRNA from 1 species
AAUACAUACAUUCUCCAACAGAUAUUUUAAAACCAAACAACGACAGUUUGAACUUGACAUUCAUUCAGGAACUUGGCCUGCUCAAGAUUAAUUGAGGUUGUAAUGAUACAACCUAGGAUGACAAAAUAUUUGAGGUUUUACAAAGACUAAUUCAUACCAGACUUUGUGCAGUAACACAUUUCAGUUACAAAAGUAGUGGUAUCAAACUGAUAGUUACCAAUGGCAUAAAUGAGGGAAACUGACUGAAAUAAAAUCUGGUGACGAUUGCUCUCUAAGCUGCACCUUGCAGUGUAUGAAUUCCAGCCUAAAUUCCAUAUAUAUUUUUUUUUUCCAUCCCUCUCUCCCCAGCAAGCCCAGCUAUAUAUACACCCUUGGUCACUGCAUACGGGAACCAAAGACAGCCAAACAGAUCUACAAUUAUAGGUCAUUAGCAUGAUGCAGAAGAGCUCUAUUGUCCAAAACAGAUAAUAACCAAGUUCUGACUGCCUGCUUUCCAGAAGCUGGACAUCCAGGCAUCUUUCCACCUGAGCGAGUGCACCAAACAAUGGACUUGUUUAUAAGAGAUGAUCAUCAGUUUAAAAGGAGGAAAAGCUGUGAAAAGGGUUCAGUUCUCUGAGAGAAAGAUGGUCAGUGCUUUACUUUUGGAACAAAUUUACAAUCCAUGGAUUCCUCCUUGAAGGCCUGAGAGAAACACUGCUGAAGAAGGAGGAGAGUUCAGAGCCUACAAUGUCUUCCAUAUUUCCUUUACAAGCUGGAGCAGGUUCAACGCUGGGAUUCUGCCUAAUCUCCUUCUUGUACUAGUAGGCAAAAUUUAACAUUCUGCAUACCAUUUAUACCUAAAGGCUAGGGGCUGCAGUCAUUAAAUGCUUAAAUCUCUAUUUCAGUUGCCCAUCUGUAAAAAAUUCUAUUUUCCUUUUACUCUUUAUCUUCUCUGAUGCUACCUACGGAAUUUCUUUGAGUCAGCCAUUGACCAUUACUACAAGUUCAUUGCAAUGUAUUUGUAGGUACUGUCACAUUACAGAUAAAUAACAUAAUAAAUAGUUGUCAGUAAACA